rnacentral:rRNA from 1 species
AUUAAGCAUAUCAAUAAGCGGAGGAAAAGAAACUAACAAGGAUUCCCCUAGUAACGGCGAGUGAACCGGGAAGAGCUCAAAUUUGUAAUCUGGCUGUCUUCGAUAGUCCGAGUUGUAAUCUAUAGAAGCGUUUUCCGUGCUGAACUGUGUAUAAGUCCCUUGGAACAGGGUAUCAAAGAGGGUGACAAUCCCGUACUUUACACAAUCAUCAGUGCUCUGUGAUACGUUCUCUACGAGUCGAGUUGUUUGGGAAUGCAGCUCAAAAUGGGUGGUAAAUUCCAUCUAAAGCUAAAUAUUGGCGAGAGACCGAUAGCGAACAAGUACCGUGAGGGAAAGAUGAAAAGCACUUUGGAAAGAGAGUUAAACAGUACGUGAAAUUGUUAAAAGGGAAACGAUUGAAGUCAGUCGUGUUUAUUGGAUUCAGCCGGUCUUCGGUGUACUUCCUUUAAACGGGUCAACAUCAGUUUUGUUCGGUGGAUAAAGAUGCUAGGAAUGUAGCUUCCUCGGAAGUGUUAUAGACUAGUAUUGCAUACACUGGAGGAGACUGAGGACUGCAGCUCGCCUUUUGGCCGGGGUUCGCCCACGUUCGAGCUUAGGAUGUUGACAUAAUGGCUUUAAACGACCCGUCU